rnacentral:rRNA from 1 species
UGCCGCGUGUGUGAAGAAGGCCUUCGGGUUGUAAAGCACUUUUGUUGGGGAAGAAAUCUUGUUGGCUAAUACCCGGCAAGGAUGACGGUACCCAAAGAAUAAGCACCGGCUAACUUCGUGCCAGCAGCCGCGGUAAUACGAAGGGUGCAAGCGUUACUCGGAAUUACUGGGCGUAAAGCGUGCGUAGGCGGCUUGUUAAGUCUGAUGUGAAAGCCCCGGGCUCAACCUGGGAAUGGCAUUGGAUACUGGCGAGCUAGAGUGUGAUAGAGGAUGGUGGAAUUCCCGGUGUAGCAGUGAAAUGCGUAGAGAUCGGGAGGAACAUCUGUGGCGAAGGCGGCCAUCUGGAUCAACACUGACGCUGAGGCACGAAAGCGUGGGGAGCAAACAGGAUUAGAUACCCUGGUAGUCCACGCCCUAAACGAUGCGAACUGGAUGUUGGGUUCAUUUAANAACUCAGUAUCGAAGCUAACGCGUUAAGUUCGCCGCCUGGGGAGUACGGUCGCAAGACUGAAACUCAAAGGAAUUGACGGGGGCCCGCACAAGCGGUG